rnacentral:rRNA from 1 species
AGGUACGGCCACACCGCCUGGUUCACGCCCGAUCUCGUUUGAUCUCGGAAGCUAAGAUAGGGUGGGCCUGGUUAGUACUUGGAUGGGAGACCGCCUGGGAAUACCAGGUGUUGUAAGAU